UACGUAGGGGGCUAGCGUUGUCCGGAAUCAUUGGGCGUAAAGCGCACGUAGGCGGCUUUCUAAGUCGGGGGUGAAAUCCUGGAGCUCAACUCCAGAACUGCCUUCGAUACUGGAGAGCUUGAGUCCGGGAGAGGUGAGUGGAACUGCGAGUGUAGAGGUGAAAUUCGUAGAUAUUCGCAAGAACACCAGUGGCGAAGGCGGCUCACUGGCCCGGUACUGACGCUGAGGUGCGAAAGCCAGGGGAGCAAACGGG
rnacentral:rRNA from 1 species